rnacentral:rRNA from 1 species
AGUAGUUUGAUCAUGGCUCAGGACGAACGCUGGCGGCACGCCUAACACAUGCAAGUCGAACGGAGAUUACUAAGCUUGCUUUGUAAUCUUAGUGGCGGACGGGUGAGUAACACGUGAGCAACCUGCCUUUGAGAGAGGGAUAGCUUCUGGAAACGGAUGGUAAUACCUCAUAACGUAGUUUUACCGCAUGAUAGGACUACCAAAGAUUUAUCACUCAAAGAUGGGCUCGCGUCUGAUUAGCUAGAUGGUGAGGUAACGGCUCACCAUGGCGACGAUCAGUAGCCGGACUGAGAGGUUGAACGGCCACAUUGGGACUGAGACACGGCCCAAACUCC